rnacentral:rRNA from 1 species
GAUGAACGCUAGCGACAGGCUUAACACAUGCAAGUCGAACGCGAGCACUUGUGCUCGAGUGGCGAACGGGUGAGUAAUACAUAAGUAACCUGCCCUAGACAGGGGGAUAACUAUUGGAAACGAUAGCUAAGACCGCAUAGGUACGGACACUGCAUGGUGACCGUAUUAAAAGUGCCUCAAAGCACUGGUAGAGGAUGGACUUAUGGCGCAUUAGCUGGUUGGCGGGGUAACGGCCCACCAAGGCGACGAUGCGUAGCCGACCUGAGAGGGUGACCGGCCACACUGGGACUGAGACACGGCCCAG